AGGGCUUAGAAAGCACAGUCCAGAUCCGAUCGAAAUCGAGCUAGAGGAGAAGGGCGAGUGAUAACAAAGCAAGCAAUGGCGGGAAUAAUCCACAAGAUCGGGGAGAAGCUCCACGGCGGCGAUCAGCACAAGGAGCAUGAGAAACACAACGCUGAGGCGCAGCACCACUCUGGCGAAGAGCAUCACAAAGAAGGGGAGCAGCACAAGGAGGGAAUCGUGGAGAAGAUCAAGGACAAGAUCCAUGGCGGUGAGAAGGAGGACAAGAUCCAUGGCGGCGAGAAGGAGAAGAAGGAAAAGAAGGGUGAUAAGAAGGACAAAAAGAAGAAAAAGGACAAGAAGGAGGGCGAGCACCACGGUCAUGGUAGCAGCAGCAGCGACAGCGAUUAGAUCCCCCAAAAUAUCAUCCCUAAUCUGCGUUCUUUGUUGCUUCUGCGAGGUUAGGAACAGAGAAGGAUUAGGGCAUGGAUUGGGGAGUGCUUAUAUGUGAUGUGUGUUUGCUUAUAGAAGCUCUGUUAUGGUGCUGAUGAAUGACUAUGUAAUAAAGUACUUGGUAUUAUCUUUACUAUGAACUUCUGAUCAUCUACCCUAUAAGAAAGAUCUUAAUGACUUCAUAUUUUAAUCUCAAA